rnacentral:rRNA from 1 species
UACGAAGGGUGCAAGCGUUACUCGGAAUUACUGGGCGUAAAGCGUGCGUAGGCGGUUUGUUAAGUCCGUUGUGAAAGCCCUGGGCUCAACCUGGGAAUUGCAGUGGAUACUGGCGAGCUAGAGUGCGGUAGAGGAUGGUGGAAUUCCCGGUGUAGCGGUGAAAUGCGUAGAGAUCGGGAGGAACACCCGUGGCGAAGGCGGCCAUCUGGACCGGCACUGACGCUGAGGCACGAAAGCGUGGGGAGCAAACAGG